CCCUUCGCUGCCCCGAGAGUGGCUUUGUGAGCAGAGGAGGCGGCUCCAUGGACGGCAAGACGAGGUCAAAAGUUCCUGGGUAGCGGGGGAGAGAAGAACCGAGGGGAGGAGGGGAGAAGAGGGAGGAAUAACAGUAACGAAAUAAAAUCUCAACCCAGCGACUCGGCUGCCUGGAGUCUGUCAGGAGAACUAGUUCGAGGCCACUACUCGGCCUUCCGCAGAAAUCACCAGCGUAAGAGCUCAGCCCUCGCAGCGAAAAGCUGAUGCUGAAAGGAAAUUGAGAUGUAAAUGGGUUUCUCCGGGCUGGCGGCGAGCGGCACUGCGUUGUAAAUAAAUUGCUUCUCAUUCGUGUGCCGCUAAUAAAACUUAAGCCGCUUGCGAAGCCGCUUGCGCAGCCCCCAGUCCCGGCCGCUCCGCGUCCCUCCGCAGCGCUUUGGGACGGCUGGGAAGGGCGGGAGGUGGGAAGGAACGUCUGGAGCUCCUCCAGUCCGUCCCCCCGCUCAAAGCAGGGGCGCAGCUUUCAGCCCUGUGAGUGAAGAAUGACGUCAUAAAUUGGCAGGGUUAGGUAGUAAUGAUGGAAGUAAAAUCGCGUUAAAAUAGCAGUUACCUUUCGUUAUUUGCACUCUGCGACUUCUGGCACUUAUCUCUACAUCACGAAUGAAAUACAGCUGCUUGACAAUCUUUUCCGCUUUGGGGCUUUGUCUCCUUGUGUCCAAGGCACUGCAGAGAUGUGUUUGUUGGGUUUAAACCAGUUUCUAAAUUGGUCUUCUAAAGGUGGACAUAUUUUUGUUGGCUAUGGCUUUCAGUGCAAGCUUUAUUUCAAGAGCACGUGUGACCAAAAUUAAUGCCUAUUUAUUAUUCCCCGCGGGUUACAAAUAAAAAGGUAAAACCAAGAUUCCAGAUAAUUAAGGGCCUGAGCUGGCAAAAACAAAUGGGAGAGCUCAAGUACUAGAUUCUCCUUUUUUUCUCCAGCACAGGUCUUCUGUUUUCUGUCCUACUCAUAUACAGUUAGCUGGCUUCACUCCCAUUUCGGUUGAAGUCGUAACUCUACCCAUCCCCCACAUGAUAGUGCAAGUUACAACAUAUUAAUGAUUUGUGCAUAUUUUGCAUUACUUUUACAUAUAAUACACCAUCUUCAAACCUAGGCACGCAGCUGUAUCAUUUCUAGUGGUCGCCCAGCCAUGCUGUUGUCAGGACACUGCUCUGUUAUGUUUUCCCUAAUGCGUUUGUUAUGUGAUGCAAUCUUCACGAAGGGAAGUGAGCUUUGAGGUGCGUGGGGUAAGGCAGCUACCUCAGAAAUUAACGCAAGGGGGCAGAAUAGCAUUAAUUGUUGUGUUUCCUGACGUCAGACUUCCUUUGAACUGUGAGCAUCCUUUUCAUUUAUUACUUGCCUGAAACUUCCCAGUCUUCUCCCCGAAAAAAAAGUUACCUUGAUCCGCCAAAGUCUUGGUAACCUAGGGGUGUGUUGCAGUAAAAAUUCUAUUUCUUUUUUAUUUUAAAAUUUUUCCUGGUUGCAUAAUUUAUGCAAAUUUUAUGUUCUUUAAAGGCUGCAGUUAUGGCUUCUAAACUUAUAGCUAGUCUUGAAAGUGCUACCUUUGUAACUAUAAAACUGUUAAAAACCCUCAAGAAGUCUCAUAAGUAAUUUAAGGCACAUUUAACUGUAAAAUGUGUGUUCUGCUAGAUCUGUCACUAAAAAUCCAGAAAUGGACAGUUAAAACUAAUUUUUAGUCUAACAAUGACUUUUGUCUAGUUUCACAAUGUCCAGACACACGUAAAAUUUUAUCUCUGAUCAGGCAAUGUCAAUCCUAACACAGUGUGGUGAGGUAUCAUGUUCAGACCUAAAACCAUAACUUUCAACCCCAUAUUUGUUACAGGGAAUCAAAAACUCCAUGCCUAUAACCACAGCAAUCUAGCAUUAGCUUAGUGAAGAUGGAAGCAAAAGUCACUGAGUUCUGUGAAUUACAGAAGAGUAUCUAAAACUGGUCACAGUUAUGGUAGGAGUAAGGCUAAAGUGCUUGACCUUCAGAGACAUAACCAUUCUACUUUAAUUACAGUAAAUCUAAGAAACAGUUAAGCUCCAGGGAAUAGCUAAACCAGUGUGAACAAUAGGAAACACAGGUCAUGCAUGGCUGAUCAGGAAUUGUUAGCUCUGUUUUGCUGUGGUUUAGUACUGGAGCAUGUAUGAAAAAAGAGUCCAGAAACACUACAAGAAAAAUAA